GCCGGGCCUCACCACUCGCGGCCGCGGGGGAGUACAGGAGUGUGGUGCUGUGGGCGGGAACUGUGGCUGCCUGCUUUCCUGUCAGUCUCCCCUGUUAGACUGAUGUAAAGAAGAUGGGUUCGUCUGGAUGCAGGCUCCCUGUUUACUAGUUGUGGGUGAGAACAUUCUGGCUGCUGCCUCUGGUGAAAACAAGGUACAUUGUAACUGUCAUCAUCUCGGGAAUUCUGGCAUAUCGUAUAGGUCACCAGAUGUAUUGACAUGAGAGACUAUUAAAACUUCUUGGAGAAACAUGAAAGACAAUUUGGGGCUAAUAGUCCCAAGGCCUUGGGAUGAAACCUGUAAGAAUGAAGAGGGGAAAUGCGGCCUCUACACUCUGGGAGGAUGUGGCGUGUCACAGUGAGCGCAGUACUCGCCCCAGGGUCAGAAAGGGUCAGGUGCCUCGCUGGUGUUCUGCUCUAUCAUCCUCUUCUUGGUGGAGAAAGGUUGUGGUUCCUGUUCCAGUCUCUAAGAAAGGGGCAGAACACUAAGGAAGGCCUCUGCACCCUUAGAGCAGACCCUCCCCUGGCACAUGUGGAGGGAGGUUGAUUUUGCCUCCCUGUGUUCCUCAAGGCACUAAACAGCUCUGAAGAAUCACAUCUCGCAGACUGACAAUACAAGUUAGGAACAGCCAGACCACAAAGGGGCAGGGGCACACAGAAGCCGAAAUAUGGGAAGCUUCCUGGGAAUGUGAAUGGCAGGAAGCAGAUGGGCUGCCUGAGCCUGGCAUCCAAGCCCACUGAUGGGCAGGCAGCAGCACCAAGCCCUCCCAGGAGACAGGAAGACAAGAGACCUCAACAAAUGGUGGGUUUGCUGGAGGGACACAGUGGGAAGAUACUGGCUGUUUGGAGGAAGGAAUAGAUGAGAGGGCGGCUGGCUUUUUUCAGCCCUCCUCCUCCAAGCCAGGGACCGGCAAGGAAGGCCCACAUCUCACAUUGACACUGGUGGUGUGGCCUCUGCCCACCACAUGAGUAUUUAGAGAGCCCCCGCCAGGGCCUCCCCAAGACUAGUUGGGGGUAGAAAACUGAAGGGGAAGGGGAGGCUGUGAGG